rnacentral:lncRNA from 1 species
UUUAUUUAUUUAUUUAUUUUAUUUUUAUUUUUAUUUUUUAUUUUUUUCGGAUCUAAUUCUGAUUGACAUGAUGAAAUGCAAUAUGAAAUGCUAAAUGAAUGCAUGAAUGAGGAGGGCAAAUUUUGGGGUGUUACAAUCUUCUCCGCCAACAACUGAAUUUCUUUAUUUGGCGGUUGGACACCAUAUUGCCCAAACGGUUCAUUAAGCAUAGAGAAUUGAUC